rnacentral:rRNA from 1 species
GUACUGGAGGGGCAUGAGGCGCUGAAAUACGGGAGGGGGAACGCGUGGUUCGGAAGUACGGGGCGUAAAGGGCGCGGAGGCGGGCGACUAAGGCAGACGUGAAAUCCAUCGGAGUAACCGGUGAACGACGUCUGAGACUAGAUGGCUUGAGGUUGGGAGAGGGAUGCGGAAUACCAGGUGUAGCGGUGAAAUGCGUAGAGAUCUGGAGGAACACCGGUGGCGAAGGCGGCAUCCUGGACCAAUUCUGACGCUGAGGAGCGAAAGCCAGGGGAGCAAACGGGAUUAGAUACCCUAGUAGUC